rnacentral:rRNA from 1 species
CGGGUCUAAUACUGGAUACGACCUCCGGCCGCAUGGUCUGGGGGUGGAAAGCUUUUUUGUGGUUUUGGAUGGACUCGCGGCCUAUCAGCUUGUUGGUGGGGUAAUGGCCUACCAAGGCGACGACGGGUAGCCGGCCUGAGAGGGUGACCGGCCACACUGGGACUGAGACACGGCCCAGACUCCUACGGGAGGCAGCAGUGGGGAAUAUUGCACAAUGGGCGCAAGCCUGAUGCAGCGACGCCGCGUGAGGGAUGAAGGCCUUCGGGUUGUAAACCUCUUUCAGUAGGGAAGAAGCGAAAGUGACGGUACCUGCAGAAGAAGCGCCGGCUAACUACGUGCCAGCAGCCGCGGUAAUACGUAGGGCGCAAGCGUUAUCCGGAAUUAUUGGGCGUAAAGAGCUCGUAGGCGGUUUGUCGCGUCUGCCGUGAAAGUCCGGGGCUUAACUCCGGAUCUGCGGUGGGUACGGGCAGACUAGAGUGCAGUAGGGGAGACUGGAAUUCCUGGUGUAGCGGUGAAAUGCGCAGAUAUCAGGAGGAACACCGAUGGC